rnacentral:hammerhead_ribozyme from 1 species
AGUAACUGAUGAGUCCGAAAUAGGACGAAAUGGGCAUCCAGAAU